rnacentral:rRNA from 1 species
GACGUAGGGGGCGAGCGUUGUCCGGAUUUAUUGGGCGUAAAGCGUGCGUAGGCGGCUGCGCAAGUCGGGUGUGAAACCCCGGGGCUCAACCCCGGAACUGCAUCCGAUACUGCGUGGCUAGAGGUAGGUAGGGGAGAUCGGAAUUCCUGGUGUAGCGGUGAAAUGCGCAGAUAUCAGGAGGAACACCGGUGGCGAAGGCGGUUCUCUGGGCCUUACCUGACGCUGAGGAGCGAAAGCGUGGGGAGCGAACAGG